CUCAUCAAAAAAUUGUUGCACACUUCUCAGUUUUCAACAUGGCUAUGAGGAAAGCAUCCAUCACUUUGUUCUGUAUGGUUUGUCUUAUGCUUAUCACAAUAGGUAUAUUUUACUUUCUCAUUACAUGAAAAUCCUGAUUUUAUAUAUGUUUGUAUGCCUAAAUUAAAAUUUGAAUUAUUAACAUAAAAGUAUUUCAUAAUAUAAAUUAAUUUAACUUUUGGAGUUUCAAGUAUAUAAUUAAUAUAGCAAAUCCAAAAUAGUUUGGGACUUGAGACACUGCAACUUAUCAUAUUUUUUCUGAACCGACCUAUUAAGUUGUAUUAUUGUCUAGUAACACUUGUUUUACACGAAUUUUACUACUUUCUUAAACAUAAUAUUUGUAAUACUUUAUAACAAAAAUUUAAUUAAUAUUUGUUUAUAGGCUUGCAGAAUGUGGAAGGUUCGGCCUUGUUUGGUGAACCAUGCACAACAUUUAGGGAUUGCUUUAAUUCUUGCGGUCAUGGCGCAAUCCCCUUUUGCCAAAAUGGACAUUGCAGUUGCGAUAAGCAGGAGGAGGCUAUUAGCAUUUCUCCAACGGGAGCUAUUAGAAAAUUUUUACAAAACAAUUAAAGACUCUGUAAUUAUACACAGGAAUAAUUGGUCUAUUGAAAUUUUCUUUAGUUGCUGAAAAUAAUAA
rnacentral:lncRNA from 1 species